rnacentral:tRNA from 1 species
GGUUUGGUGGUCUAGUGGUAUGAUUCUCGCUUAGGGAAAACCUGAAGCUGAAAUGCGAGAGGUCCCGGGUUCAAUCCCCGGCCAAACCC